rnacentral:rRNA from 1 species
GAUGAACGCUGGCGGCGUGCCUAAUACAUGCAAGUCGAGCGAACGGACGAGAAGCUUGCUUUUCUGAUGUUAGCGGCGGACGGGUGAGUAACACGUGGAUAACCUACCUAUAAGACUGGGAUAACUUCGGGAAACCGGAGCUAAUACCGGAUAAUAUUUUGAACCGCAUGGUUCAAAAGUGAAAGACGGUCUUGCUGUCACUUAUAGAUGGAUCCGCGCUGCAUUAGCUAGUUGGUAAGGUAACGGCUUACCAAGGCAACGAUGCAUAGCCGACCUGAGAGGGUGAUCGGCCACACUGGGACUGAGACACGGUCCAGACUCCUACGGGAGGCAGCAGUAGGGAAUCUUCCGCAAUGGGCGAAAGCCUGACGGAGCAACGCCGCGUGAGUGAUGAAGGUCUUCGGAUCGUAAAACUCUGUUAUUAGGGAAGAACAUAUGUGUAAGUAACUGUGCACAUCUUGACGGUACCUAAUCAGAAAGCCACGGCUAACUACGUGCCAGCAGCCGCGGUAAUACGUAGGUGGCAAGCGUUAUCCGGAAUUAUUGGGCGUAAAGCGCGCGUAGGCGGUUUUUUAAGUCUGAUGUGAAAGCCCACGGCUCAACCGUGGAGGGUCAUUGGAAACUGGAAAACUUGAGUGCAGAAGAGGAAAGUGGAAUUCCAUGUGUAGCGGUGAAAUGCGCAGAGAUAUGGAGGAACACCAGUGGCGAAGGCGACUUUCUGGUCUGUAACUGACGCUGAUGUGCGAAAGCGUGGGGAUCAAACAGGAUUAGAUACCCUGGUAGUCCACGCCGUAAACGAUGAGUGCUAAGUGUUAGGGGGUUUCCGCCCCUUAGUGCUGCAGCUAACGCAUUAAGCACUCCGCCUGGGGAGUACGACCGCAAGGUUGAAACUCAAAGGAAUUGACGGGGACCCGCACAAGCGGUGGAGCAUGUGGUUUAAUUCGAAGCAACGCGAAGAACCUUACCAAAUCUUGACAUCCUUUGACAACUCUAGAGAUAGAGCCUUCCCCUUCGGGGGACAAAGUGACAGGUGGUGCAUGGUUGUCGUCAGCUCGUGUCGUGAGAUGUUGGGUUAAGUCCCGCAACGAGCGCAACCCUUAAGCUUAGUUGCCAUCAUUAAGUUGGGCACUCUAAGUUGACUGCCGGUGACAAACCGGAGGAAGGUGGGGAUGACGUCAAAUCAUCAUGCCCCUUAUGAUUUGGGCUACACACGUGCUACAAUGGACAAUACAAAGGGCAGCGAAACCGCGAGGUCAAGCAAAUCCCAUAAAGUUGUUCUCAGUUCGGAUUGUAGUCUGCAACUCGACUACAUGAAGCUGGAAUCGCUAGUAAUCGUAGAUCAGCAUGCUACGGUGAAUACGUUCCCGGGUCU